UAGAGAUGUGAGGUGCUCUUACCUUGGUACAGGGUCUCUGAGCUGGGGAGAUGUGAGGUGCUCUUACCUUGGUACAGGGUCUCUGAGCUGGGGAGAUGUGAGGUGCUCUUACCUUGGUACAGGGUCUCUGAGCUGGGGAGAUGUGAGGUGCUCUUACCCUGGUACAGGGUCUCUGAGCUGCU